AUGAACGCUGGCGGCGUGCCUAAUACAUGCAAGUCGAGCGAACGGACGAGAAGCUUGCUUCUCUGAUGUUAGCGGCGGACGGGUGAGUAACACGUGGAUAACCUACCUAUAAGACUGGGAUAACUUCGGGAAACCGGAGCUAAUACCGGAUAAUAUUUUGAACCGCAUGGUUCAAAAGUGAAAGACGGUCUUGCUGUCACUUAUAGAUGGAUCCGCGCUGCAUUAGCUAGUUGGUAAGGUAACGGCUUACCAAGGCAACGAUGCAUAGCCGACCUGAGAGGGUGAUCGGCCACACUGGAACUGAGACACGGUCCAGACUCCUACGGGAGGCAGCAGUAGGGAAUCUUCCGCAAUGGGCGAAAGCCUGACGGAGCAACGCCGCGUGAGUGAUGAAGAUCUUCGGAUCGUAAAACUCUGUUAUUAGGGAAGAACAUAUGUGUAAGUAACUGUGCACAUCUUGACGGUACCUAAUCAGAAAGCCACGGCUAACUACGUG
rnacentral:rRNA from 1 species